rnacentral:misc_RNA from 1 species
GUGAAGAACGCAGCGAAAUGCGAUACGUAAUGUGAAUUGCAGAAUUCAGUGAAUCAUCGAGUCUUUGAACGCACAUUGCGCCCCCUGGUAUUCCGGGGGGCAUGCCUGUCCGAGCGUCAUUGCUGCCCUCAAGCACGGCUUGUGUGUUGGGCUCCGUCCCCCCGGGGACGGGCCCGAAAGGCAGCGGCGGCACCGAGUCCGGUCCUCGAGCGUAUGGGGCUUUGUCACCCGCUCUGUAGGCCCGGCCGGCGCCAGCCGACAACCCAUCAUCCUUUUCAGGUUGACCUCGGAUCAGGUAGGGAUACCCGCUGAACUUAAGCAUAUCAAUAAGCGGAGGA